UACGUAGGUGGCAAGCGUUGUCCGGAUUUACUGGGCGUAAAGAGCGCGCAGGCGGUCGUUCAAGUCGCGUGUGAAAACCCCCGGCUCAACUGGGGAGGGUCACGCGAUACUGAUCGACUCGAAGGCAGGAGAGGGAAGUGGAAUUCCCGGUGUAGUGGUGAAAUGCGUAGAUAUCGGGAGGAACACCAGUGGCGAAGGCGACUUCCUGGCCUGUUCUUGACGCUGAGGCGCGAAAGCUAGGGGAGCAAACAGG
rnacentral:rRNA from 1 species